rnacentral:rRNA from 1 species
GUCAGUAGCUAUACAACUCUGCAUCUCUAUGAUGGCUUCCGUCUGAAGCUAAGCAGGGUUGGGCUUGGUUAGUAUAGGAGACCAGAUGCUGCUGAAA